CAAACUGGGAUUAGAUACCCCACUAUGCCAAGCCGUAAAAUUAACCUACACCAACCAACGCCAGGGAACUACGAGCCUCAGCUUAAAACCCAAAGGACUUGACGGUGUCCCACCCUACUAGAGGAGCCUGUUCUAUAACCGAUAACCCACGCUAUACCCAACCAUUCCUUGCCUCUCAGCCUGUAUACCUCCGUCGCAAGCCUGUCAUGUGAAUGCACAACAGCAAGCCCAACGGCCAAACGCCAAUACGUCAGGUCAAGGUGCAGCUCAUGAAAUGGAAGCCAAUGGGCUACAAUUUCUAUUUUAGAAUAAACGAAAUACUACAUGAAACUAAGUCAUGAAGGCGGAUUUAGCAGUAAAUGGGGAAUAGAGAGCCCCAUUUAACCCGGCCCUGGGACGUGUACACACCGCCCGUCACC
rnacentral:rRNA from 1 species